ACUGCACUCAUCAUCAGAUCUUGGAGGAACGAUUUAGAAGGUUCCUAUUUUGGGGCCACCACUACGUCCAAAUCUCUGUGGUUUGCUAAGGUUUCCAACGGGUCAGGGGGUUCCUCCCAAAGGCAAUUCAAAAAGCAAUGCGGACACUCAGCCUGGUCAGGGUGAGUUUCCUGACUAGCCUUCAGAUCAUGUCACAUCAGGACUCUGGAGACUUGGAACAGAAGCCUGCUCCCCAGAAGGUUUGAAUGCUGUGCUGUAGCUUCUGCUUUGCAACAAUUAAAACAGAAAAAAAAGAGGCAAUUCUCAUGAUUUUGUGUAGUAAUGAGAGCCAGAAUGUAUUGAUUGACUUCUAUGUGUCAAGCCCUAUCUGUGGUAAAUUCUUCCAGACAUGAUUAUUUUCUGUUACAAAAGCUCUAUACAUAUUUUUUAACCUGCAUGUCCCAGAUGAGUAAACUGAGGCUGAAGUUCAGGGAAAUAAGGUGAUUUGCCAAAGGAUUCUGCUCAUAAAUGCAGAUUAAUCUGUGAUGCUUAAGGUGAUUUCAUUUUAUGACAAAUGGAAAAUUAUUAUUUGAAUAAAAAGACAGUAUUUUCAUUGAUUACCUGUUUGUUUCUUUCUGCUUUUUGUUUCCAUGGAGAUCUGAAUUCCUUCCUUAACACUCCUGACUAUGGCAGUGACAACCGUAGACCUCUCUUCCUUCCAACCUUAGAACCGCAGAAAAAAACCCAGGAGUACAUGUGACAAUGCAGUAAUGCAUAUUUUCAAAUAUCAAAAUAAAAUAUGGCCUAGCUGGAUCUGACA
rnacentral:lncRNA from 12 species